GUGUGUGGCCAAGCCAUCGUCGGAUCAAGCAACUUUACUAGCGAAUAUCAAUUACGCAUGCUCUCACGGGGAUUGCCAGAUUCUACAAAAGGGUUACCCUUGCUUUUCUCCAGAUAGUCUCAUAAGCCAUGCAUCAAUAGCCAUGAAUCUGUACUACCAAUGUAAGGGAAGGAACCACUGGAAUUGUGAUUUCAGGGACUCUGGCCUCAUUGUCAAGACUGAUCCAAGCUAUAGCAACUGCAUCUAUGCCUAAGCCUUGGUCCAGGAAGUAAUUCCUGGCAAUUUGUCUGCUGGAAAUAUAUUGCUGCAAGGAAGCAGAAGAGUUGGUCUGACAUACAUUCUUGCCUAAUUUUGUCAGGCCUCAUUUAAUUGCUGAUCUCCCGAUAAAGGAUCCAAAAUUGAAUUGCAAGCUCCCAGCAAACUUACACCUCAAAAGCCCAAAACAUAAACUAUGAUAGAAGUGCGCGAGAGUGUGGGAAUUCGGAUGUAAAGUAGCAACCAGCAAGUGUUGUUUGAUUCAGGAUCAGAACUCAGAAGAACCACCAGGUUAGGUCCUCCUAUACAUCUAUUUCGUAAUCCGAAUCUAACUACUUUUGUGAAGACAAGUUAGAGGCCUUGAUGUGCCUUGAAAAAUUCAGCUUAAGAUUAAGAAAAGGCUAAAACUGCUUAGUAUUUUAUUGUAGAUUGAAACAGUGAGUUUUAUUUUUUAUUUUUAUGUUCUUCAAGAUUUUUUUGUAUAAUUUUUGGUAAUUAAUUUUUUUUUUAAUUUUAUUCUUAAAUAUUAUGUUUAGUGAUAUUUGAAAAAAAAAAUUGUUUCAAUUAACUUAGGAUUUCUUGUGUGGUCUCUAUUGUUUCACAAUUUGGUAGAAUAAAGUUUGAUUUUAUUGUUUAAAAAUAAUUUAAUCUUUAGGGACCAACUCUAAAGACAAAAGCAAGUUUUUUUUUUCUAUACAAGAAGAACUGGUUUUAACCUGCCGAAUACUCUAUAAAAAAAAAAAAACACUUUCAACCUGCCGAAUACUCUAUUUGUUUCUUAAGGCUGUUAGUUAUAUGGCAAAUUGAGCAAUAUUUUCUAUCUGGGUAUUUUAAGUGGAUAGCAAAAGAUUGUUUCGUUUUAGCUUUCUUGGGUUCUUGCUAUUAAGAAUGAUGUAAAUGACUUGCCGUAAUCUUGAUUUUGGAAGGGCUAAACUUCAUUUGGUGGCUUGUGGCUGCUCCUCCAGUGAUUCAAUAGAUAGGGAUUCGGUGAGGAAUUAUGCAAAGUCAGUUUCUAAGAGUUGUAACAGGGAUUAUGGUUCCAGGAGAAUGGUUUGUUGCCGGCGAGAUAUUGCUAGGUGUCGAGUUUCUUCAACAAAGACCCCUGAGACUUUACUUGCUAGUACAUGUUUUUUUGCACUCUUUUUUUUUAAUUUGGAUUUUAUGUUUUGCUUCCUGUUUUUGAUAUUCAUGUUUUUUCCUUUCGUAUUUAUGUUUAAAAUUGGUUUUAGGAAAUCUUAGAGUAUUAGUUUCGUGUCUUAUUGAUGCUGAAUGUAUUUGUAUUCGACGGAACAAUCUGAAUUUGUUGGAUUACAGUUAAGUGUCUGUAUCCAACAGAAAUAACAAUCAGUAACUUCUUACUAAUACUGAUCGAAUCUGCUUUAGAGUAGCACAGGCCGUUGCCAUUCAUUAACCAUUUCUUUGUUGACCACAGUUUAGUGCUUUCCUAAUUCAUUAUGAUUCUGGUGAUUCUGUUUACUUAACAUAACAUUUAAGUGCUUGGUCUCCAUCAAUAAAGCACCUGCCAUUGAUUUAAUAUGUUGUAAUGCUUGAAAUGUUGGUAUUUUUGUUCAUUUUUGGCUUGAUACAGGGGUUGCUGAAGGUCCCACAGUACUUCUGAAUUUGAAGAAAGAGUCAAGAGAACCAGUUUCAUUUACAAAUUUGUUCGAAGUGGUUGCUGCUGAUCUUUAGACUCUUAAGCAAAAUCUCCGGUCGAUUGUUGCUGCAGAAAAUGCGGUUUUGAUGUCUGCAGCUGAGCAGAAAUUUGGUGCUGGUGGGAAGAGAAUGUGACCAGCUCUGGUCUUUCUAGUGUCAAGAGCCACAGCAGAAGUAGUCGGGUUGAAGGAACUUACAACUGAAAAUCGGCGCUUAGCAGAGAUUAUUGAGAUGAUCCACACUGCAAGUUUAAUACAUGACGAUGUAUUGGAUGAAAGUGACAUGUGAAGAGAGUUUUGCAGAACCAGUCCGAGGCUGAAGAGAGAAGGGUUCUAAUAGAUGGAUGACCAACAGGCUCGCAUAUUAGUUAGACCUUGUCAACCUAGCUGUGAGAUGAAAUUAUGAUUUUUUGAAGCCAAC